GACGAACGCUGGCGGCGUGCUUAACACAUGCAAGUCGAACGAUGAACUUGGAGCUUGCUCUGGGGGAUUAGUGGCGAACGGGUGAGUAACACGUGAAUAACCUGCCCUGGACUCUGGGAUAACUUCGAGAAAUCGGAGCUAAUACCGGAUAGGACCUUGCACCGCAUGGUGUGGGGUGGAAAGUUUUUCGGUUUGGGAUGGACUCGCGGCCUAUCAGCUUGUUGGUGAGAUAAUGGCUCACCAAGGCGUCGACGGGUAGCCGGCCUGAGAGGGUGACCGGCCACACUGGGACUGAGACACGGCCCAGACUCCUACGGGAGGCAGCAGUGGGGAAUAUUGCACAAUGGGCGCAAGCCUGGGGCAGCAACGCCGCGUGCGGGAUGACGGCCUUCGGGUUGUAAACCGCUUUUAGUAGGGAAGAAGCCUUCGGGUGACGGUACCUGCAGAAAAAGGACCGGCUAACUACGUGCCAGCAGCCGCCGUAAGAC
rnacentral:rRNA from 1 species